rnacentral:rRNA from 1 species
UGAUCUGUGAAGGCGUGUCGUCUGAGUCGCGUGAGAAAUCGUGAAAACUUUCAACAACGGAUCUCUUGGUUCCGGCAUCGAUGAAGAACGCAGCGAAAUGCGA